rnacentral:piRNA from 1 species
UCAAGAAAAGAGUCAGCCAUUUCUUGGAGC